CCUACGGGCGGCAGCAGUGAGGAAUAUUGGUCAAUGGACGAGAGUCUGAACCAGCCAAGUAGCGUGAAGGAUGACUGCCCUAUGGGUUGUAAACUUCUUUUAUAUGGGAAUAAAACGUGCCACGUGUGGGAGGUUGUAUGUACCAGAUGAAUAAGGAUCGGCUAACUCCGUGCCAGCAGCCGCGGUAAUACGGAGGAUCCGAGCGUUAUCCGGAUUUAUUGGGUUUAAAGGGAGCGUAGGUGGAUUGUUAAGUCAGUGGUGCAAGUUUGCGGCUCAACCGUAAAAUUGCCGUUGAAACUGGCAGUCUUGCGUACAGUAGAGGUUGGCGGCAUUCGUUGUGUCGCGG
rnacentral:rRNA from 1 species